GUGCUUGCUUCAGCAGCACAUAUAUUAAAAUUGGAAUGAUAUAGAAAAAUUAGCAUGGUUCUUGCGCAAGGAUAACUAAAAAAAAUUUAGAGUAUUAGCUAUACUAU